GACGAACGCUGGCGGCGUGCUUAACACAUGCCAGUCGAACGGAAAGGCCCUGCUUUUGUGGGGUGCUCGAGUGGCGAACGGGUGAGUAACACGUGAGUAACCUGCCCUUGACUUUGGGAUAACUUCAGGAAACUGGGGCUAAUACCGGAUAGGAGCUCCUGCUGCAUGGUGGGGGUUGGAAAGUUUCGGCGGUUGGGGAUGGACUCGCGGCUUAUCAGCUUGUUGGUGGGGUAGUGGCUUACCAAGGCUUUGACGGGUAGCCGGCCUGAGAGGGUGACCGGCCACAUUGGGACUGAGAUACGGCCCAGACUCCUACGGGAGGCAGCAGUGGGGAAUAUUGCACAAUGGGCGGAAGCCUGAUGCAGCAACGCCGCGUGCGGGAUGACGGCCUUCGGGUUGUAAACCGCUUUCGCCUGUGACGAAGCUUGAGUGACGGUAAUGGGUAAAGAAGCACCGGCUAACUACGUG
rnacentral:rRNA from 1 species